CAGAGUUGCAAAACUCCCCAAACCAUCGUGAACCUUUACCGCUAAACAGUUGCUUCGGCGGGUGGCCCGCGGGGGUGCGCAAGCCGCGCCCCCGGGGGCCGCCGAGCCCGCCGGAGGAAUCCAAAAAACCAUCGCUUUCAGUACCGGCCUCUCUGAGUUAACUGUACUUUUAAUUAAGUCA
rnacentral:misc_RNA from 1 species